rnacentral:misc_RNA from 1 species
AGAAACUUCAUUUGAGAAUGAACAACUCCUGAGUGAAGUUUUCUAUGAAUGCAAAAAAGAUCUAUUUGAAAAAGAUGCGCUCUCUGAAGUCUUGGACAUGAAAAUUCCUAUUGUGAAGGCUGAUGGAAGCCUUACUGCAGAUGAAAACUUGGUUUCUGAGGGAUCCUUCCAGAAAAGUAUUAGUUCAGGGUGUCUUAGCUCCAUGGAGUGGAUACAUGGGGCUCCAAUGAGGGCAAAUUUUAU